CCUCCUUAUACGAUUUAGAACUUAUUUGUUCGUAGUGUCCACACAGAUGAUUGUUAGUUAGUUUUACCCUUUGGGUUCAACUGAUUAAUAUGCUCUUUAAAAAUUUGGAAAAGCUGAUAAUAAAAUUCGUAUGAAUAACAGUGUUAUUUGUACAGAGUUUUCAAAAGUAAAAAAGAAUGAUAGCAGUAUCAUUCAGUGCCAAUUUAAUCAUUUAUGAUUAAUUGGUAUCUACUUUAGUAUUCAAUAUUAACUUCUGGCGAAGUUAAACUGUCACAUAACAAAGACCCGUUUGGGUUGUAUGGUUAAGUGACUAAGCGUACACGGUGGAUGCCUUGGCAGUUGGAGGCGAUGAAGGACGUAUUAACUUGCGAUAAGCCUAGUCAAGCUAGUAAAAAGCGCUUGA
rnacentral:misc_RNA from 1 species